rnacentral:ncRNA from 2 species
AUUUUAUAUGAAUCUGAUGGUGCUGCCCGGAAUCGUUUGGUUCCGCCAGCUUAAUAGGGAAGUCCGGUGAAAAUCCGGCGCGGUCCCGCCACUGUAACGAGGAGUGUCCAGCAAAAAAGCCACUGUUUUUCGCGCGACGAAAAAUGGGAAGGGCGCUGGGGAUGAUGAUUCGUAAGCCAGGAGACCUGCCAUGAGAUGAUUUACAAU